rnacentral:rRNA from 1 species
AGUGAACGCUAGCGGCAGGCUUAAUACAUGCAAGUUGAGGGCAGCAUGAUAGUACGCGAGUAUAUUGAUGGCGACCGGCGGACGGGUGAGUAAUAGGUAGGAGACCUACCUCAUACGAGGGGGAUAGCAUAGAGAAAUCUGUGGUAAUACCCCAUGAGGUUAUAUGAAUAGAGGCAUAUAAUCAAAGCAUAAGCGAUUAUGCGGUAUGAGAGGGGCCUACUGACCAUUAGCUAGUUGGUGAGGUAAGGGCUCACCAAGGCGAAGAUGGUUAGGGGUUUUGAGAGAGAGACCCCCCACAUUGGAACUGAGAGACGGUCCAGACUCCUACGGGAGGCAGCAGUAGGGAAUAUUGGGCAAUGGGCGAAAGCCUGACCCAGCCAUGCCGCGUGAAGGAAGACGGCCUUAUGGGUUGUAAACUUCUUUACUACGCGAAUAGAGGUUAGUACGAGAUACUAAUAGGAAGGUAGUGUAGUAAAAAAGCACCGGCUAACUCCGUG